GCAUCAUCUUACUGGGAACAUGUUUAAUCUGCCAAAAGAUCAUCUGAACUCUGACUGCAAACCAUUCUACUGUUCAGAUUUCUCAUGCAAAUCUGUAUGACUUCAGGCUGGAGAAAAAUCCUGCCCAUUCUGGAAAGAUACCUGCAGUGUUUGGAUUUUGAUCUCUCUUCAACCUUUCAAACAUCAUCUUUUCAAAACAACACAGAGCACCUGCUGCAGCUAGUAUCAAAAGCUCUACAGGACCCUGGCCGUGUUCGAGAUCUUUUCUGCAAAAGUGACUGUGACCAGCUGUCC